AGAGUUUGAUCAUGGCUCAGAGCGAACGCUGGUGGCAGGCUUAACACAUGCAAGUCGAGCGGGCGUAGCAAUACGUCAGCGGCAGACGGGUGAGUAACGCGUGGGAACGUACCUUUUGGUUCGGAACAACACAGGGAAACUUGUGCUAAUACCGGAUAAGCCCUUACGGGGAAAGAUUUAUCGCCGAAAGAUCGGCCCGCGUCUGAUUAGCUAGUUGGUGAGGUAAUGGCUCACCAAGGCGACGAUCAGUAGCUGGUCUGAGAGGAUGAUCAGCCACAUUGGGACUGAGACACGGCCCAAACUCCUACGGGAGGCAGCAGUGGGGAAUAUUGGACAAUGGGGGCAACCCUGAUCCAGCCAUGCCGCGUGAGUGAUGAAGGCCCUAGGGCUGUAAAGCUCUUUUGUGCGGGAAGAUAAUGACGGUACCGCAAGAAUAAGCCCCGGCUAACUUCGUGCCAGCAGCCGCGGUAAUACGAAGGGGGCUAGCGUUGCUCGGAAUCACUGGGCGUAAAGGGUGCGUAGGCGGGUUUUUAAGUCAGGGGUGAAAUCCUGGAGCUCAACUCCAGAACUGCCUUUGAUACUGAAGAUCUUGAGUCCGGGAGAGGUGAGUGGAACUGCGAGUGUAGAGGUGAAAUUCGUAGAUAUUCGCAAGAACACCAGUGGCGAAGGCGGCUCACUGGCCCGGUACUGACGCUGAGGCACGAAAGCGUGGGGAGCAAACAGGAUUAGAUACCCUGGUAGUCC
rnacentral:rRNA from 1 species